GGCAUGGUGGUUUAUUGGUUAACAUAUUUGCCUCACACCCUCGGGGUUGGGGGUUCAAAUCCCACCACUGCUC